AUUGAACGCUGGCGGCAGGCCUAACACAUGCAAGUCGAACGAGUGGCGGACGGGUGAGUCAUGUCUGGGAAACUGCCUGAUGGAGGGGGAUAACUACUGGAAACGGUAGCUAAUACCGCAUACCAUCAGAUGUGCCCAGAUGGGAUUAGGGUGUUGGUGGGGUAACGGCUCACCAAGGCGACGAUCCCUAGCUGGUCUGAGAGGAUGACCAGCCACAUGGGACCGGAGACAGGGUCCAGACUCCUACGGGGGGCAGCAGGGGGGAAUAUUGCACAAUGGGCGCAAGCCUGAUGCAGCCAUGCCGCGUGUAUGAAGAAGGCCUUCGGGUUGUAAAGUACUUUCAGCGGGGAGGCGUUACCCGCAGAAGAGGCACCGGCUAACCCCGUGCCAGCAGCCGCGGUAAUU
rnacentral:rRNA from 1 species